rnacentral:lncRNA from 1 species
GUAGGAUUACUAAGGAUCAUAGAUUACUCAACAUCAUACAUACAUUAAACCUGUUUAUGUGUGACAAGCGUAAAGACAGAGUCCAUGUAGGAUUGCUACGGAUCAUAGAAUACUCAACAUCAUACAUACACAAAACUUGCUUCCGUGUGACAAAUGUAAAGACAGAUUCCUUUUAAGGAUUGCUUAGGAUAACAGAAUACUCAAC